AUUGAACGCUGGCGGCGUGCCUAAUACAUGCAAGUCGAACGGAGUGGCGCACGGGUGGGUAAGGUAUAGCUAAUCUGCCCUCCACUAGAGGACAACAGUUGGUAACAACUGCUAAUACUCUAUAGUGUAGGAUGAGGCUAUAUUGUAUCAGCUAGUUGGUGAGGUAAAGGCUCACCAAGGGUAUGACGCAUAACUGGUCUGAGAGGAUGAUCAGUCGACCUGUAAGUGAGGCACCAUCGGGGCUCAUUCGGCAGGCAGCGGAAGGGAGAAUUGCUCAAGGGGGGAGUACCUGAAGGGGCAACGGCGCGUGGAGGAUGACACGUUGCGGGGAGUAUGCUCCUUUUGUUAGGGAAGCGGUACCUAAAGAAGAAGCACCGGCUAACUCCGUGCCAGCAGCCGCGGUAAUAC
rnacentral:rRNA from 1 species